rfam:Triticum aestivum genome assembly, contig: Triticum_aestivum_CS42_TGACv1_scaffold_499597_6BL
CAUGUACUCCCUCCGUCCGGAAAUACUCGUCAUCAAAAUGAAUAAAAGGGGAUGUAUUUGAAGGUAUUUUAGUUUUAGAUACAUCCUUUUUUGUCCAUUUUGAUGACAAGUAUUUUCGGACGGAGGGAAUAUAUG